GCGCAUGUAGCUCAGCUGGAUAGAGUACCUGGCUACGAACCAGGCGGUCGGAGGUUCGACUCCUUCCAUGCGCACCA
rnacentral:tRNA from 40 species